UACGGAGGGGGCGAGCGUUGUUCGGAAUUACUGGGUGUAAAGGGUGCGUAGGCGGUCCGUUAAGUCUGAUGUGAAAGCCCUGGGCUCAACUCAGGAAUGGCAUUGGAAACUGGCGGGCUAGAAUACCGGAGAGGGAAGCGGAAUCCUGGUGUAGCGGUGAAAUGCGUAGAUACCAGGAGGAACACCGGAUGGCGAAGGCGGUACUCGGCGA
rnacentral:rRNA from 1 species